rnacentral:rRNA from 1 species
UACGUAGGGUGCAAGCGUUGUCCGGAAUUAUUGGGCGUAAAGAGCUCGUAGGCGGUUGUGCGUCUGCUGUGAAAACUAGGGCUUACCACUGGACUUGCAGUGGGUACGGGCAGACUAGAGUGCGGUAGGGGGAGACUGGAAUUCCUGGUGUAGCGGUGGAAAUGCGCAGAUAUCAGGAGGAACACCGGUGGCGAAGGCGACUCUUUGGCCUGUAACUGACGCUGAGGCG